CUCAGAUUGAACGCUGGCGGCAGGCCUAACACAUGCAAGUCGAGCGGUAACAUUUCUAGCUUGCUAGAAGAUGACGAGCGGCGGACGGGUGAGUAAUGCUUGGGAACAUGCCUUGAGGUGGGGGACAACAGUUGGAAACGACUGCUAAUACCGCAUAAUGUCUACGGACCAAAGGGGGCUUCGGCUCUCGCCUUUAGAUUGGCCCAAGUGGGAUUAGCUAGUUGGUGAGGUAAUGGCUCACCAAGGCGACGAUCCCUAGCUGGUUUGAGAGGAUGAUCAGCCACACUGGGACUGAGACACGGCCCAGACUCCUACGGGAGCAGCAGUGGGGAAUAUUGCACAAUGGGCGAAAGCCUGAUGCAGCCAUGCCGCGUGUAUGAAGAAGGCCUUCGGGUUGUAAACGUACUUUCAGUUAGUGAGUAAGGGUGUGUAGUUAGUAGCUGCACAUCUUGACGUUAGCAACGAGAAGAAGCGACCGGCUUAACCG
rnacentral:rRNA from 1 species